rnacentral:tRNA from 1 species
GCGUCGCUAGCUCAAUUGGUUAGAGCAGGGGCCUCUUAAGCCCAAGGUUCUCAGUUCGAUUCUGAGGCGACGCA